rnacentral:ncRNA from 2 species
AUAUAGUGAUUUUGUCUUGGUAAGCCACAACAUGUUGUGUUUGUGGCGAGGAAUCCGGUGAGAGUCCGGAACUGACGCGCAGCGGUAUUGGGGAACGAGCGUGGCAUGAUGACACUGGCGCAAGCCGGGAAGUCGCCACGUAAGGCAGAGCCGGAAGGCUCACGCCCCUGAGUCCGAAGACCUGCCAGGGCAACAAGCACUGC